rnacentral:rRNA from 1 species
UGACUGCGUACCUUUUGUAUAAUGGGUCAGCGACUUAUAUUCUGUAGCAAGGUUAACCGAAUAGGGGAGCCGGAGGGAAACCGAGUCUUAACCGGGCGUUAAGUUGCAGGGUAUAGACCCGAAACCCGGUGAUCUAGCCAUGGGCAGGUUGAAGGUUGGGUAACACUAACUGGAGGACCGAACCGACUAAUGUUGAAAAAUUAGCGGAUGACCUGUGGCUGGGGGUGAAAGGCCAAUCAAACCGGGAGAUAGCUGGUUCUCCCCGAAAGCUAUUUAGGUAGCGCCUCGUGAAUUCAUCUCCGGGGGUAGAGCACUGUUUCGGCUAGGGGGCCAUCCCGGCUUACCAACCCGAUGCAAACUGCGAAUACCGGAGAAUGUUAUCACGGGAGACACACGGCGGGUGCUAACGUCCGUCGUGAAGAGGGAAACAACCCAGACCGCCAGCUAAGGUCCCAAAGUCAUGGUUAAGUGGGAAACGAUGUGGGAAGGCCCAGACAGCCAGGAUGUUGGCUUAGAAGCAGCCAUCAUUUAAAGAAAGCGUAAUAGCUCACUGGUCGAGUCGGCCUGCGCGGAAGAUGUAACGGGGCUAAACCAUGCACCGAAGCUGCGGCAGCGACACUGUGUGUUGUUGGGUAGGGGAGCGUUCUGUAAGCCUGUGAAGGUGUGUCGUGAGGCAUGCUGGAGGUAUCAGAAGUGCGAAUGCUGACAUAAGUAACGAUAAAGCGGGUGAAAAGCCCGCUCGCCGGAAGACCAAGGGUUCCUGUCCAACGUUAAUCGGGGCAGGGUGAGUCGACCCCUAAGGCGAGGCCGAAAGGCGUAGUCGAUGGGAAACGGGUUAAUAUUCCCGUACUUGGUGUUACUGCGAAGGGGGGACGGAGAAGGCUAUGUUGGCCGGGCGACGGUUGUCCCGGUUUAAGCGUGUAGGUGUGUGUUCCAGGUAAAUCCGGUUCACUUUAACACUGAGGCGUGACGACGAGGCACUACGGUGCUGAAGCAACAAAUGCCCUGCUUCCAGGAAAAGCCUCUAAGCAUCAGGUAACAUCAAAUCGUACCCCAAACCGACACAGGUGGUCAGGUAGAGAAUACCAAGGCGCUUGAGAGAACUCGGGUGAAGGAACUAGGCAAAAUGGUGCCGUAACUUCGGGAGAAGGCACGCUGACACGUAGGUGAAGUGAUUUACUCAUGGAGCUGAAGUCAGUCGAAGAUACCAGCUGGCUGCAACUGUUUAUUAAAAACACAGCACUGUGCAAACACGAAAGUGGACGUAUACGGUGUGACGCCUGCCCGGUGCCGGAAGGUUAAUUGAUGGGGUCAGCGCAAGCGAAGCUCCUGAUCGAAGCCCCGGUAAACGGCGGCCGUAACUAUAACGGUCCUAAGGUAGCGAAAUUCCUUGUCGGGUAAGUUCCGACCUGCACGAAUGGCGUAAUGAUGGCCAGGCUGUCUCCACCCGAGACUCAGUGAAAUUGAACUCGCUGUGAAGAUGCAGUGUACCCGCGGCAAGACGGAAAGACCCCGUGAACCUUUACUAUAGCUUGACACUGAACAUUGAGCCUUGAUGUGUAGGAUAGGUGGGAGGCUUUGAAGUGUGGACGCCAGUCUGCAUGGAGCCGACCUUGAAAUACCACCCUUUAAUGUUUGAUGUUCUAACGUGGACCCGUUACCCGGGUUGCGGACAGUGUCUGGUGGGUAGUUUGACUGGGGCGGUCUCCUCCUAAAGAGUAACGGAGGAGCACGAAGGUUGGCUAAUCCUGGUCGGACAUCAGGAGGUUAGUGCAAUGGCAUAAGCCAGCUUGACUGCGAGCGUGACGGCGCGAGCAGGUGCGAAAGCAGGUCAUAGUGAUCCGGUGGUUCUGAAUGGAAGGGCCAUCGCUCAACGGAUAAAAGGUACUCCGGGGAUAACAGGCUGAUACCGCCCAAGAGUUCAUAUCGACGGCGGUGUUUGGCACCUCGAUGUCGGCUCAUCACAUCCUGGGGCUGAAGUAGGUCCCAAGGGUAUGGCUGUUCGCCAUUUAAAGUGGUACGCGAGCUGGGUUUAGAACGUCGUGAGACAGUUCGGUCCCUAUCUGCCGUGGGCGCUGGAGAACUGAGGGGGGCUGCUCCUAGUACGAGAGGACCGGAGUGGACGCAUCACUGGUGUUCGGGUUGUCAUGCCAAUGGCACUGCCCGGUAGCUAAAUGCGGAAGAGAUAAGUGCUGAAAGCAUCUAAGCACGAAACUUGCCCCGAGAUGAGUUCUCCCUGAGACUUAGAGUCUCCUGAAGGAACGUUGAAGACGACGACGUUGAUAGGCCGGGUGUGUAAGCGCAGCGAUGCGUUGAGCUAACCGGUACUAAUGAACCGUGAGGCUUAACCUUAC